rnacentral:ncRNA from 1 species
GGAAAGAAAAAUAAAUUAAAUAGCGCACUAAGGUAUUUUUUGUUUUUUAUUUAUAAGUAAAUAAAAAACAAAAUAAGCAAAAGCAUAGGCAAAGUAAGACUAGCUAAAACUUGUCUGAACAUAGGGGUUCCAUCCUCUAAGGCUAAAUAUCACAUAUUCAGCGAUAGUGUAGAAGUACCGUGAGGGAAAAUUUAUAAAUAGUAAUCAUAAAAGCAGUUGGAGCAAACUUUUUGUUACAACGUACCUUUUGCAUAAUGGGUCGGCGAGUUAUUAUAAUAAGCAAGGUUGAAAGCCUAAGCGAAAGCGAUUAUUGCUUAAAAAGUAAUGGAUAUAGUUUAUUAUAAUAGACCCGAAACAACUUGAUCUUACCAUGGCCAGACAUACUGAUGCCACAGUUUUAACUUAAAAGUAAAAAAAAAAUGCGGUAUCAAAGGUCGAAUGGUUGAAUGUUGCAUAAUUCUCCAAUGAGCUGUGGUAAGGAACGAAAAGUUAAUCUAAAGUUGUGAUAGCUGGUAUUCCGCGAAAUAUAUAUAAGUAUAUCAUCCAUAACACGUCGGUCAUUCCGUAACUCAAAAAAAUUUUUUUUUCAUACAAGGGCGGGGGGACCCAUUGGUUUUAUUUUUCUUUUUUUUCUUUUAUUAAGUUAAUAAAAAAGGGUCCCAGGACAGAUACCUGUCCAGUUGCGUAUUUUUACUGCACUAUUUCUAUCUUAAAUAAAGAGAGAAAUAGUGCAGUAAAAAUACGCAAACAAAAAUAUCUUUUUUUUCUUCUAAAAAUAGCUUUUUUUUACUUUAUUUUACUCUUUUCUCAUUUCUUUUUUUUAUUUAUUUUACUCUACUCUAAUUAAGGGUCCGAGGGAACCUCGGACCGC